rnacentral:tRNA from 1 species
UUAUUACAUUGGCAGAUAAAUGCAGUAGACUUAGACUCUAAUUAAACUAAC